AAAAAAAAGAAGCAAAACCUAUCUCUCAUUCAAACUCACGUAAACUAGCAAACCCUCAAACCUUGGUACUCUCUGCCCAGCCGCCAGCCACCAUACACCCGCCGGACCUCCACCGUCCUCGUCACAGCCGCCCCAGCCGCCGACCACCUACCGCCGCCGCGACCGCCAGCUGCACGGUAACCUUCUUCUUCUCCUUCGUUCUUCUUCCUUUCUCUUUCGUUCGUUUCUUGCAGCUUCGCUACCCUUCUCACGAUCUUUUUCGCUCUUGCUCUCCUCGCUCGUUUUGGUUUUUGCGCAGCAGCAACCGAGUCGCGCCACCCUCUCCUUGCUGUCGCCGAGCAGUGCUGCCGCCUCCGGCCGCGCCUCACCGCCUGCCACCGUCGUCCUCUCUCGUCGGCGGAGAAUUCUCCUUAGGCGACUUUUGAAUUAUUAAAGUGGUCUUGCAGUUUGUUUACACAAGUCUCUAAGGAUCAAUAAGCGUUGCCCAUCUACAGGUUUGAAGAUGAUGCAUCAUUGGGAUCGGGAUUAGAGAGCUUGUAGUUAUAUUUGUUUUAUUAAGUGAUUUGGGUUGUUAACUUAUAUUUGAAAGUUGUCGUACUAUUCGUAUUUCCUUAUUUCCGUUAAUUGGUUUUGGACUUAGUAUGUAAUCGAUUAUUUAUGAACCUAAAAGUUAGUUUUAUGUUUUCCGCUGCAAAAUUCUGAAUAAGCCGUACGU